CAGGUCGUCUGAUGUAUGAUCAGGCUGAGAUGCUCCUUAGAACAAGGAAUCCAAGAGUCGUCCCUUGCACACACUGUCAUCAACCAUCACUACCUCCCCCUCUGCUUCCAGCACAUCGCAGUCUCUUCUUAAUCCCAGGCUCCCAUCCUCACGCAGCACCACUGCCUGUCCCACCACGCAAUGGGCAACAAGUGCUAUCAGGGUCACCCUGCGUCCUGCCUGUCGGCUGCUCCCAAGGGCUGACCCUCCUCCGCCUUCGGAAACUCCCCCAAGGUGUCCCAAACCCACCCCCCGAGGCAGAUGCAAAAGCCCCAGGCAUCAGCGGGAGAGGGGGGAGAAGCAGCCAGCAGAGGAGCCGGGCAUCGGUUGCCUCCAAGCCGAGAUUAUGACCCAACACCUAGGACGGAAAACGAAGACGGACUUGAAGCUUUUACAAACACGCCAUUGUACUCACUUCUUAUUCAGAGUCGGGCUGCGCGCUCCGAGCUGCACGGGCAGGCAUUUUCCCCGGCUUUGUUUUACAAGAAGGGCUGCUGGGCCAAGUCGGAGCAUUUCGCCAGCUACAAGGAGAGCUUCCUAGUGAAAGCUGCGGAUGUGAGAACCGAGGGAAAGCCACAGACCCGCAGGAGGUCAGGCGGAGCACAAACACUCUUGAGGGUUUCAGCUUAAUACCUGCUUACUUCCGUAAGCACUGCCAGAUACUUCAGAUGGGGAUCUGACUCUAGCCCUGCAACAGGAGUUGCUGCUGGAUCCUAGACGCUGCAGAUAUUGUGCUUUUUACAGACUGAAGUUUUGUGACAACCCUACAUCAAGCAAGUCUAUCAGCAUCAUUUUUCCAACCGCAUUUGCUCACUUCAUGUCUUUGUGUCACAUUCUGGUACUUGUAAUAUUUCAAACUUUUCAUUAUUAUUUUGUUAUGGUGAUCUGUGAUUGGUGAUCUUUGAUGUUACUAUUGUAAUUGUUUUUGGGAUGCUAUGAAUCAGGCACAUAUAACUUAAUCAAGUAAAUAUUGUGUGUGUCCUGUGUGUGUUCCACUUACCGGCCGUUUCCAGUCUCUUUCCCUCUCCUCAGAACUCUCUAUUCUCUGAGACACAACAGUAUUUAAAUUAGACCAGUAAAUAGCCCUACAAUGGCCUUUAAAUGUUCAAGCAAAAGGAAGAGUCACCCGCACGCACCUGUCUCACUUCAAAUCAGAAGCUAGAAAUGAUGCAGCUUAGUGGAAAAAGCAUGUCGAAAGCCAAGAUAGGAUGAAAGCAAGGCCUUUUGCACCAGUUAGCCAAAUUGUGAAUGCAAAGGGAAAGUUCUUGAAGGAAGUUAAAAGUGCUACUCUGGUGAACAUACGAAUGAUAAGAGAGUGAAACAGCCUACUGCUGAUAUGGAGAAAGUUUGAAUGUCCUGGAUAGAAGAUCAAACCAACUACAAUAUUCCCCUAGGCCAAAGCCCAAUUCAGGAAAAGCCCUAAGUCUUCAAUUCUAUGCAGGCUGAGAGAGGUAAGGAAGAUGCAGAAGAAAAUUUUGAAGUUAGCAGAGGUUGGUUCAUGAGGCUUAAGGAAAAAAGCCAUCUCUAUAACAUCAAAGUGCAAGGGGAAGCAGCAAGUGCUGAAUAUAGAAGCUGCAGCAAGUUAUCCAGAAGAUCUAGCUAAGAGAAUUCAUGAAGAUAGCUACAUUAAACAGCAGAUUUUCAAUGGAGACAAAACUGUUCUUUUUCCAUUAUAUAUUCUUGGUUCCUUUGUAAGCAAAUUAAUUGACCAUAUAUGUGUUAUAUGGGUUAUUUCUGGACUUACUAUUCUGUUCCAUUGAUCUAUGUGUCUGUGUUUAUGCCAGUAUCAUACAGUUUUGAUUACUAUACCUUUGUAAUAUAGAUUGAAAUUGGGGAGCAUGAUGCCUUCAAUUAUGUUCAUCUUUUUCAAGAUUGCUUUGACUAUUCAGGAUCUAUUGUGGUUCUACACAAAUUUCAGGAUUGUUUUAGAUCUGUGAAAAA